rnacentral:rRNA from 1 species
CCGCGAAUUCGCCCUUAGGGUUUGAUUAUGGCUCAGAUUGAACGCUGGCGGCAGGCCUAACACAUGCAAGUCGAGCGGUAGCACAGGAGAGCUUGCUCUCUGGGUGACGAGCGGCGGACGGGUGAGUAAUGUCUGGGAAACUGCCCGAUGGAGGGGGAUAACCACUGGAAACGGUGGCUAAUACCGCAUAACGUCUACGGACCAAAGAGGGGGACCUUCGGGCCUCUUGCCAUCGGAUGUGCCCAGAUGGGAUUAGCUAGUAGGUGGGGUAACGGCUCACCUAGGCGACGAUCCCUAGCUGGUCUGAGAGGAUGACCAGCCACACUGGAACUGAGACACGGUCCAGACUCCUACGGGAGGCAGCAGUGGGGAAUAUUGCACAAUGGGCGCAAGCCUGAUGCAGCCAUGCCGCGUGUGUGAAGAAGGCCUUCGGGUUGUAAAGCACUUUCAGCGAGGAGGAAGGCCAAUAACUUAAUACGUUGUUGGAUUGACGUUACUCGCAGAAGAAGCACCGGCUAACUCCGUGCCAGCAGCCGCGGUAAUACGGAGGGUGCAAGCGUUAAUCGGAAUUACUGGGCGUAAAGCGCACGCAGGC